UAUCAUAAUGUAUCGUGUAUGGCGUGACAGAGGACUGUUGGGGCGAGGGUGUGGACUGCAGGCCGCCCACCUGGAGUCUUAUCAUACAGGACAGGUCAGUGGGGGCGUCUGAAGUGUAUGAAUGCUUUUUUCCCUCCUACCCCAGGUGCCAGGCUGGCUGGCCCGGUCACGACUGAAAUCCGAUAAUGGUAGCGUCUCGCCUGUCCUGGAAAGCCGUGCCAGAUGUACGAAAGUAAACACAGCAGCUCAUCAUCUCCCUUACUCUUUCCCCAUCAUUUUCCCUCACACCAAGUCUUGCUAGGGCUCGGCUAGUAGGUGAGACAUCCUGUCAGUGAAGUGAAGCGGAAGACGGACAUCAGCGUUGUUCAAAUCGUGGCGGGGUCAGGUGCCGAGCAGGUUGGCAACUCGGGUUCAUCCUUCCCUGCGCUGGGCGACGUGCGCUCGGGCAGACCAGCUCACAGCACAAGUUGACAAGCGAGGGAGUGGAGAGUGACUGUGAGAUAACGCUCGGGGUGACCGCCCUGCUUGCCGAGGAAUACUUUCAGUCCCGCUGGGGGUUUGUCACAGGAGCCGAGCCUGGCGUAAUCCGUACUAAUGAUUAAUCAAUUCUGGAACCUGUGUCGUGCCUGUCCUUCAGUAAACAUUGAUAAGUUGCGGUCACGUGGACUUGAUGAAUGGACGCGCAGACGGUGGUGUUACGAGGUGGCUGGCUGGCGAGAUGGAUCGCCGAGGGGGGACGUGCCGGAACGUAAGGCAGCGGCUACACCCUCGCCAGGAACAAAGCUGCACUCUGAGUACCGCAGCACUUACCGCUGGCACGAGUAUAAGCCUCAAACCCAGAAUGAAGUCAUCAGAAAGCCGCCAACGUCACAAGGUACGAGCAAGGAGGCACUCAGGUUGUACUGUGAGUGUCAGCAGGGAGGGGAAGAAGAGUGACUGAAGAAAAUGAAGAAAAAUACACUACAUCUAAUUACUAAAACACAAAUGUUGGUCAUGAGAACUUUUUUUUUUUACAUUUGUAGAAGGCUAACCAAAGGUACACAAAUUUGAAAUGAACUCACUUAAAUUACGCUUCAAAAAUAGUUAUGUAAGAGUUAAAAAACAAAAAAAGACAGAUAAAUUUAGUUCUGGAAUUGUUUGGUGUUCCUCUCAUGAAAUUAAUUCACAGGGAAGAAAAUAGAAACGGUUAAAGAAUUUCAAGAGUUUACCAGAGAGGGAUGAAAGAGUGAAGAUCCUGCUUUACUUUUGCAUGAGUAAAGUGGAUAGUCUUGGGCAGCGAGGCCGUGUGUGGAGGGACGGGGAGGGGAAGACAAGGUAAGAGGAGGAGUGACCAUGGAAAUAACAAUAGAAGAUAGGGUGGCAAGGGAUGCGAAUAAUUCCACUAAUACAUUAUCAUAGUUUUCAGUUGUACAUUCGAGAUUAUUAUCAGAGAGAGAGAGAGAGAGAGAGAGAGAGAGAGAGAGAGAGAGAGAGAGAGAGUACCCGUGGAUCCAAUGACACGUGCUCUGCCAGACCCGUGCACUGGUAACACAAGCCACGUGCCGCUGCUCUGUACAGGAAUAUCACAUUUUUUCCUACCUAACAAAGUGACGAGGACGGAGGUGCAUCUAAUAGACCAUAUUCUGAAACGCUCCUGCGCUUCAUCCCGACUCCUUUUAAAAGGCUUAGUUGAAAUUGCACGGCCUUUUAAGGAUGACUUUAAGGUUCUAGUUGUAGAUUAAUAAGAUUUCUCCAUUAUUAACAGGAGAAACACUCUUGAGAAACUGGCUAAUCAUCUCUGUGGCAUUUGAAGGCAAUGGUGAGAGAACAAAGCAUUUCAAAAUAAGGUUAAAAAUGUCUGGCCACUCUGAGCUUCCCUCCAAGUGGUGUCAUCUAGCGGGCUUCACUUCCAUUACUUAACCCUCUCGCUGCUAUACACAAAUCUUUCAUUUUAAUACAUGUAGUUUAUUAGAUACUAUUUUUGCGCUUACUUCUCAUAAAUAUUUCUGUAGAGUAAAAAAUAUACUAAAUUA